UACAGAGGAGCCAAGCGUUGUCCGGAUUGACUGGGCGUAAAGCGCACGCAGGCGGCUGCGCGCGUGGGGUGUGAAAUCUGGCCGCUUAACGGCCAGGCGCCAUCCCAUACGGCGCGGCUGGAGUGAUGCAGAGGUCGGUGGAAUUGCCGGUGUAGUGGUGAAAUGCGUAGAUAUCAGGAGGAAUACCGGUGGCGAAGGCGGCCUUCUGGACGAUGACUGACGCUGAGACGCGAAAGCGUGGGGAGCAAACAGG
rnacentral:rRNA from 1 species